AUGUUAUAGAGACCGCUGUGACCCUGGCCUGCCCUUUACUAAGAGAGNUGCAUUGUGUGGUGGUAACACUAGGCCAGCAUGGAGUUCUGCUGUGUGGCCGAGACGUGGGUGGAAGAAUCUCUCUUCAUCCUGGAACAUGCCACAAGGCCUCUGUAACAGAUGAACUGAGUGNGGCUCAUUACCCAGCUGCCCCCGUCCCUAUGGAGGAGAUAAUGAAUGUCUCUGGAGCAGGUGACAGCUUAAUGGCUGGGAUUAUCGCUGGCCUCCUUGCUGGGGAGAACACAGACAACUGCGUCCGGAUGGGCCUCUUGGCCGCCAGCCUCUCCCUCCGUUCUUAUGAGCCCGUUUCACCAGAGAUCAGCAUCGCAACUGUCAGUGCGGAAAGGCUCCAGCGGGAGAAUUGGCCUCUGCCUACAAAGUGGACGAUCUCCUAAAUGCCUGCCUUCUGCGUCCAGCUGUAGCUACAUAGGCAAAGCCUCCCCACCUCGGUCUUCUCCCAGAAUCAGCCCCCCUUUGAACUAGAACCAGGUGCACUGUGAUUUUAAUCAGGCAGGAGGCGGCGUAAGUAGCCGGUUCACGUCAUACAUGCCCCAUUCUUUAUUGCUACAACUAUCCCUGCUGUGCACUCAAAAUAAUAAAAACCANGUUUUGAAGAUUUCA
rnacentral:lncRNA from 1 species